UGCCCUACGGGAGGCAGCAGUGAGGAAUAUUGGUCAAUGGACGAGAGUCUGAACCAGCCACGCAGCGUGAAGGAUGACUGCCCUAUGGGUUGUAAACUUCUUUUAUAAAGGAAUAAAACGAGGUGCGUGUGCCUUUUUGCAUGUACUUUAUGAAUAAGGAUCGGCUAACUCCGUGCCAGCAGCCGCGGUAAUACGGAGGCUCCGAGCGUUAUCCGGAUUUAUUGGGUUUAAAGGGAGAGUA
rnacentral:rRNA from 1 species